rnacentral:rRNA from 1 species
AUGGCCACCAAGGUCGACGCCGCCGCGGCCGCCGCAGCCUCCUCUCCGGCUACCUCAUCUCCUCUCACUCCUCCCGCUACCUCUUCCCAGCCAAACCCCACCAUCUCUCCCGACACCCCAUCUCUGCUUGUCACUCCCGCUCCUCUUCCUCUCCAGACGGCGCCGCCACCCCACUUCUACCCAACGCCGGCGUAUGUGCACGCCAUGCGUGUCGAGGGUGCUCACAUCAAUCUCCCCGUCCGCCUCGCCAUGAACGGCGCCAACUACACUGUCUGGCGGGGGAUGAUGCUGGACGUCAUCGAUCAGUACGACGUCGCCUCUUGGAUCGCGCCGGACUUCGCCGACCACGCCGGCGAUGCAUGCUGGAACAUCAUCAACAAGGCGGUGAAGCGAUGGUUCCUCGGCGCGAUGGUGACGUAG